rnacentral:misc_RNA from 1 species
AUGAUGCAAUAGAAUUUUGGUAUAAACUAAAGACGUUUGAUCUCCAUAUGGUACAUCUUUUGUGUUAUCUAAGAUCGGAGAAAAAAUCCCACCAGUGGAAUUGUACCCAGAGGACACCCCAACUAAACCACUAAAUGCACAGGAGCUGUUCAAAGGAAAGAAGGGUGUUCUGUUUGCAGUGGUGGGUGCCUUCACUCCCGGAUGUUCACAGGCCCACAUUCCUGAAUAUCUAAAUAACUACGAAAAAUUUAAGGAAGAAGGCUAUGAUAUGAUAUGCUGUUUGGCUGUUAAUGAUCCAUUUGUUAUGUCUGCUUGGGCUGAUAAACUCAAGACAAAGGGGAAGAUAAAGAUGCUGGCGGAUCCUCAAGGAAAAUUCACCAAAGCAAUGAAAAUGGAUCUGGACUGCACAAAGCUACUGGGAAAUGUUAGAUCGAAAAGGUGGGGCAGUGCACUCAUUCAGUGAUAAUUAAGGAAUCAUUGAGUGUUAUGAUGUGAUCAAAUACGGUCAGGGGUGAUCAAAUCCAAUGAAGCCCAAAGGGCAUUAUGAUAGAUUUGCUCACCCUCAACCUUAUUUGAUCAUCUGAUAAUAUCAAAGAAUGAUUCCUUAUUACUUGUAUUUAUAUUAUUUUCAUCAAUUGCACGAUUGAUUAUUAAAAUUAUUGAAAUAUUAGAAUAUAAGAAUAUUCAUUAAUGAAAUGUAUAUGGUUAUGUGUUACAAAAAUGAUUUGCAGUAUAAUCACAGAUAAAGACACUGGAACAUGUAAAUAAAUAUUUAACUAAAGAGCAUGCUUGUACAUUAAACUGGAUUUAAAAUCAUUUUCUAUGAAUCAUGAUGAUAGAACUUAUAGGGUGUUACAUAAUUACUGGAAGUUCCUCCAAAUUAUGUUUGGCUUUGAAAUGUUAGUUUUGUUAAGACAGCUCAGAUUUGUUCUGAUUUUUGAUAGAUACGCUCUGGUGAUUGAGGACAGUGUCAUCAAGAGUGUCAACACGGAGCCCGACCACACGGGCCUGGCCUGCUUACUGUGCAUCAGGAACUUUAGGUCUGCCCAAUCAGCAGGCGCCACGUGAUCUGUGCUUGGUGGUGCUGAGUGGUUCUGGUGUAAAUGUGGGAGAUUGAAAGAAGUGUGCGAUUGUAUGGUAUUAAAGAGGAUAUUGAUCUUGGGGAGAGCCUUGUGCAACCUUGUGGAAUUUAUACAGCACACACCUGUGACUUUCUGUUGGUUUUAUUUAUACUGUUGUAUAUUAUUUCUACAAGUACAGGUCUCAAUGUAAGGUGUUUUGUAUAUUUGGUAAAAUAAUCUAGUUUGAAUUAUUUUUGUUGUUUUAUUUUUAAAUGGAUAUGGUUUAUACAAUGAAUGACUGUCUUCAAAAUUAUGAAAACAGUUUUACUCAUUCUCAUGAUAUGCCUGCAGGUACAAGUGCAAUGUGUAUUAUGUAAUUUACCAGAGUCAUUAAUAAACUGGUGCUGUCAAUU